UACGGGGGGGUCCAAGCGUUGUUCGGAAUCACUGGGCGUAAAGCGCAUGUAGGUGGCUUUUCAAGUCAACUGUGAAAGCCCAGGGCCUAACCCUGGAAGUGCAGUUGAUACUGUUGAGCUUGAGUACGAGAGAGGAUAGUGGAAUUCCUGGUGUAGAGGUGAAAUUCGUAGAUAUCAGGAGGAACACCAGUGGCGAAGGCGGCUUUCUGGACGGUAACUGACGCUGAGACGCGAAAGCGUGGGGAGCAAACAGG
rnacentral:rRNA from 1 species